AGUUGCCACAAUUCCCUGCUGGUGCCCCAUAAAUCCUUCUCUAUCUGCCAUUUUACCUCUCUGCCUCUUUCCCAUCUUUUUAUUGUUGUUGUUCUGUGGCUUCUCCACAAGGGGGAUGAGGAUGAAUUGCAUGUGCUAGCUCCCAGGCUGCUCUACUUAUAAAAUGGAAGUCAACAAGAGGAAGAUCCUUCCACAGUAAAGGCAGCAACAAGGACAGGACAAUUGCCUGACUGAACACUACAAACUCAUUGCUGGAUAGCAAACAGGAAGCAUAGAUAUACUCUGUAAUGCCUGCUAGCCUUCAGCUUGACAAAACUGAAUAGUGUGGCAGAACUGUGACAGAUUGUUGCCCAAGGCCAUCUCCGCUGUGGAUGGGUGUUGAAGAUUUCGAAAUGCAGCUCAUUCAAUUAAAAAGCUCAG